AUUGAACGCUGGCGGAAUGCUUUACACAUGCAAGUCGAGCGGCAGCGCGGGGGCAACCCUGGCGGCGAGCGGCGAACGGGUGAGUAAUACAUCGGAACGUGUCCUUAAGUGGGGGAUAGCUCGGCGAAAGCCGGAUUAAUACCGCAUAAGCUCUGAGGAGGAAAGCGGGGGCUCCGUAAGGACCUCGCGCUGUUGGAGCGGCCGAUGUCGGAUUAGCUAGUUGGUGGGGAAAGGCCCACCAAGGCGACGAUCCGUAGCUGGUCUGAGAGGAUGAUCAGCCACACUGGAACUGAGACACGGUCCAGACUCCUACGGGAGGCAGCAGUGGGGAAUUUUGGACAAUGGGGGCAACCCUGAUCCAGCCAUUCCGCGUGAGUG
rnacentral:rRNA from 1 species